CUAAUUAUAUAUAAGUGAAGUCCAUUGAAAAUCUCUCUCAUUCAAUGCGUCAACCUAGAGCCAUAGAGAGGGUAGGAGAGAAGGGCUACACUGUUGAGCCUUGAAGCAUUAGGAAUGUCAAGUUUGGUUAUUAUUCCCACUGCAUCUGAAGGAAGCAUCCAAAGGGAUCGCAUUGAUCCUAAAACUUUAGUGUUAAAUUUCUAUUUACCUUCACAAAAUAUUUGGGAUCAUGCUAUCCCUUUGGAUUUCUCCUU